ensembl:lncRNA
GCUGGAGUGCUUUCUCUAAGGUGGCAGGCUGAGAGAGUUGGGCUUGUUCAGCCUAAAGAGAAGGCUCCUGGGAGACCUUAGAGCAGCUUCCAGUACCUAAAGGGGGGCUACAAGAAAUCUGAAGAGAGGCUUUUUGCAAGGGAAUGUAAAUUUAUUUCUUUUUCAUUCUUUUUUUCUUUCAGUCUGUCUGCCUUGUACAUUCAGCAGACCAGAUUUCUCAGUCAUGUACCCACAAUGUCCAGUACAGAAUGCUUCCUGAAACAAGUAAUAUUUCCACAUGUAUCAUAAGGGCAGCAUCUUUUUGGCUGCUUGAAUUUGCAAGAGAUGUCAGGGUUAUCAGAGGAGGGCAGAGGUGAUGGAAGUCAGGUUUUACAGCUUCUCUGUGUUAUUCUGGCUGUGGAUAAAGAACAUGACUCAUGUUAGAGCUUGAAGAGAACAAAGAAGUAUUAUAGAAGUUCACAGACUGUGGCAUUCUAGCCGGUUUGGACUCAGAAUGUGGAGCCCAUGGGAAUGAUGUACACCUGAGAGUUUUUUAUGAAGUUUACCACUGAGAUUUAAGAAAAUUCUUUGUACCAUAGAAUGAUUAACUUCUGGUGAUAUGGUUCUCAAGAACCCAUUACUCCCAGUUUCUUGAAUGGAUCUGAAGCAGUGCCAAAUCCCUCAAAUUCCAAUGUAAUAUACAAUAAACCUCUGAGCUUACAGGUCUCACUGUAACUAAUUUAGAAGAUCUUAAAGAAUCAUUUUUUGAACCAAGACAUUAGAAAUAAAAAUAUGAGCAAGUCAGUAGUUGUGGACCUGCCUCAGUAGAAGGAACAGUAGGUAGAGAACUUUCCUGUUGGAUCAGAGCAAAGGUCUCUCAAAACUAGUGUCCUGUCUCCUGCAAAGGGUCUAGCAAACAGGUCAGGUAUGAAAGGAUCCUUUUGAGCACAUCAUGCCGGCUUUCAAAGAGAUGGCUAUUUAGAUACUUCAUGACCCAGCUGUAUUAUAACAGUUGUGUCCAAUACUCUCUGACAGACUUGUUUGCUCUCUGUGAGUUUAUCUAAUCUCUUUUAGAACCCAUUUAUCCCUUCACAACAUCCUGUAGUAAUGAGAACUACAAUUUAAUUAAAUACUAAGGGAAAGAAUUUAUUUUCUGUUUGUAUACUCCAGACCUGCUAUCUUCUAAUGCUGUAUACCCCUCCUACUUCUUUAAUGUGAGAAAUAAUAAUUGUGCUUUAGUUCUUCAUGCUUUGCUGCCACAGAGCAGUUGUGAAAUGGUUUCUACUUGUGGAGAAGAUACUUCAUUUUGCUGAGUCACAUGUAUGUUUUUUUCACUGACAUAAGAGAACUUGCUUUGGGCACAGAUGUUUUAAUCUCUGUGCACAAGAUUUGUUCACAAACCUUGUAAUAUUUGUAAAGGAGGGUCCUUCUCUCUUUCUUUCUUUUUCUCUUUCGUCCCUUUGUUCUUUCUGUCUGCCUGUCUUUCUGUCUUUGUCUUGAUGUAAUCAGGAGAAAAAAAACCCAUGCUUUUUCUCAAACAGACCAUUCUACUGAGAGCAGAAACAGGAAGCUAAUUUUUGCAGACAAUUUCUGUUUAAUGCUGUUGACAUAAUAUUUGAAUUCUGGAUUAUCUCAUUAAAUGUGUUAAUGCAGUUUGUUAUAUCAUAUGCAGAUGUGUUUCAAGUCUACCUGGAACACUUCAAUGAUUUCCUUCUGAAAAUAGUCUUUAGAUGUUAGUGAUACCCCACCUCCUUUAUUCUUUUGUCUUUUCCUAGUUAUCACCACUAUUUCAGGAGUGUUUGACUAUUCUUAAAGCUGGUUCCAGUCUUACACCUUCUUGUUCUUAGCCUUUUAUUUUGUCCUAAUUUUUUCCUGACUCAAAACUGUGAGCAACUUUUUGCCAUUAAUAACUUCUUCUGAAAUAAAAAAUUAUUUCCACUUGCUAGUGGAUGCAAGUGGGUAUUUCA